rnacentral:lncRNA from 1 species
CUAAAACGUUGCUUGAAGUUGCUUUAUAAAAUUGCAGAUCACUUUCUACCUCUGGUGAAGGUAAACUAGCUUGAGGGUAAAUUUACUAAAGGAGAAGAGCAGGUUGUGUUAUUAGCUCUGCUCAGCAGGGCGUUUUGGUUUUCUUUUGUUUUUACACUCCAGGCUUUCUCUCCUUGCAUGCCUCAGUGGGAGGCGAGCUGCUCCGUAACUCCGCACUGGCUGGGGGCGGUUGCUCUCAGAGCUGGAGCUGGAGGAACCCGCGUGUGAAUGAGACGGCUGUCAGCAUCACCGCACUCAGGACUCCCUGUGCAGGGAGCAACACACCAGAAGUGCAGAGCCCCCGAUCUUCUGGCUCACUUGAAUUUGUGCUCCAGCCUAUUACAUAUUUUUUUUUCACACACAUGAUCAUUUGUUUGCAGUCUGGAAAUAUAAAACCACUCAAGAAAUGGGGGCCAAACUAUUGGUCCUGGUCCAGUCCAGGAGAGACCACCGGUGUGUGUGACCACUGCUCAGGAAGACUCUGGCAGAUGCAGCUACCAAAGAUUCUAAAUCCCAGGUGGGUUGGUCUGGGUACUGGCUGGUGGGGAAGGGUCCCCUCUUAUGAGUUUGUGAUCAGGAAAUUACAGUCAGAAGAAAAGGGUGGAGAGCAGAUAGUGGGUCAGGAUUGAAGUAGAAACUAGAUGGAGAGCUAUAUACCGAAGCACGUAUGUCUCUUAGAAAACAUGAAUCAGUGGCUCUGCCAACCAAGCUCUGGCUU